GAUGAACGCUAGCUACAGGCUUAACACAUGCAAGUCGAGGGGAAACGAUAUUGGAAGCUUGCUUCCGAUAGGCGUCGACCGGCGCACGGGUGAGUAACGCGUAUCCAACCUGCCCACCACUUGGGGAUAACCUUGCGAAAGUAAGACUAAUACCCAAUGAUAUCUCUAGAAGACAUCUGAAAGAGAUUAAAGAUUUAUCGGUGAUGGAUGGGGAUGCGUCUGAUUAGCUUGUUGGCGGGGUAACGGCCCACCAAGGCAACGAUCAGUAGGGGUUCUGAGUAGGAAGGUCCCCCACAUUGGAACUGAGACACGGUCCAAACUCCUACGGGAGGCAGCAGUGAGGAAUAUUGGUCAAUGGGCAGAGCCUGAACCAGCCAAGUAGCGUGCAGGAUGACGGCCCUAUGGGUUGUAAACUG
rnacentral:rRNA from 1 species